UACGGGGGGGGCAAGCGUUGUUCGGAAUUACUGGGCGUAAAGGGCUCGUAGGCGGCCAACUAGGUCCGACGUGAAAUCCCAAGGCUUAACCUUGGAACUGCGUCGGAUACUGGAUGGCUUGAAUUCGGGAGAGGGAUGCAGAAUUCCAGGUGUAGCGGUGAAAUGCGUAGAUAUCUGGAGGAAUACCGGUGGCGAAGGCGGCAUCCUGGACCGACAUUGACGCUGAGGAGCGAAAGCUAGGGGAGCAAACGGG
rnacentral:rRNA from 1 species